AUUUUCUUUAUGAUGAAAAAUUUUCGGAUGUAAAUCAUUUCUGCUGAGGCGCAAAACCGUGCGGAUAUUUUCCGUUGCCUUCCUUCUGAUCAAUAGA
rnacentral:snoRNA from 1 species